AAAGCAGAGAGUCUAUUUUGAUAAGCGAUCCCAGGGAACAGGAAUGGGGAACUGGGGAGAGAGGGCAUCAGAGAAGGAAAACCUGAUUCAAACGUGAGUUCUGGAGUUGGUCAACCAGCGGGCCAUGCUACAGGGGCAUGAUCCCACAAAGACUCUAGAGAACCAGGUAGAAUGUGCCUCUGAAUUGCCUGUGUGAAAGAAGAGAAGAGAUUUACUCAUGGGCUCCAGUCUCCCUGGGGUAUUAAAGCACCUUCACUUCCAGGCUACACAUCAUAAACGCCGAAGAGGAUUCCUCAGGUAUCAAUAACCCUGGCAGAAAGUGAGAGUCUAAACAUCCCCGGGUUGACUCAGCUGAAGUUCGGAGACCUUACGUAAGGCACCCAAGCUCCCAGAGCUGGGUGCUCAUGCAUAGAGGAAAAGGUCUCAUGGGCUCCCUGGAUGGGCAUCUCUCUGGCCACAAAGAUACAGGUAAACAUAGAGGGACAUACAUUUAGCAUUGGCUCUGCCUAUGAAGUCCCCUCCUUCGUGCUGGGGCUGAUGCCAAAUGGUAUUCUGAUGUGUGACAAAGGGAAGCAGUACAACUACAGAAAGCACAGAAGAAUAGUGUUAAAGAUGACAGGCAGGAUUAAAUUGGAGAAAUAAAGAUAGCAGGGAGAGAAACAAAAAUAUUUUUCCUUUUCGUCCAAGUACUGAUGUAAUCAAAUCUUCUAAAACAUCAGUUGCCCACAACUGCUAUGACAAUUAUUCAUAAAAGGCAAUGGAGUCCCAGCCUACUCCUUAAAAUAAAACCAAUUUCUACUUGUGAAUAGCUAGUUGCCCAGUGCUGCACUCCUGUCCCCUGAUGAGGUCCCAUGUCUUUCUAUCCUCACACAAGCUCAAAGAAAGAAUGAGCAGGGACCUUAUUACUAUUAUUAUUAUAGUUAACAUCUAUUAAGCCCUCACUUUGAUCCCAGAGAGUGCAAAUUUGUUCUUGUGGAGGUUCCUAACGACCCUCAUGUUCCCACACCCGGUGGAUUUUCUUCUCUGUCCUCCUUUUACUUGGCCUCUCAGCAGCAUUCACCAGAGUGACAUCUCCCCACUUUCCAAACUCUUGCUUUCCUUGGUGCUGAGACACUACUCUCUGGUUGGCCUCCUAUCUCAAUAGCGUCUCAUCUUAAUCUUUUUGCUUGUUGUUCUUUCUCUGUCUGAACUCAUGAUAUGGGUGUUUCUCAGAGUCAGGGCCUGGGCCUUCUGCCCUUUCCAUAUUUUUGCCUAGGUGGUCUCUUUUUUUUUUCCCAUGGGUUUAGAUCCUGUGAAUGCUGAUGACUCUGAAAUUCAUAUCUCCUGCUAAGACUUUUCCUCUGACUUUGAGACUCUCACAUCUGACCAUCAACUUUAUGUCUCCAUUUGGAUGUCUCAAAGGUAGACCCAACUUGUCUCAAAUUCAACUCUUGCUUUCCCCUCCCUUCCAAGCAAAUGCCCCUUGCACCUUCUACAUGGUGACUUCUACUCACUGUUCUUAACAUCCAUCUGCAAGUUUGGUCAAUUCUAUCUCUUCUUGUCUGCGUCCCUUCCAUCGCCUUCCCAGCCUCCAUCAUGUCUUCCCUGGAUUUCUGCAGUGGUUUCUGAUGGCCCUCUCCACACCCACUCCUGCCUCCCUACAAAAUGUUCUCUACUCAGCAGUUGGAGUGCAUAUUAAAACAUGUAAAAUAAUUCAUGUCUCCCUCUGAAAUCCUAUUUAAGAACUUUUGGAA